AACGAACGCUGGCGGCAUGCCUAACACAUGCAAGUCGAACGAGACCUUCGGGUCUAGUGGCGCACGGGUGCGUAACGCGUGGGAAUCUGCCCUUGGGUGCGGAAUAACUUUCCGAAAGGGAUGCUAAUACCGCAUAAUGUCGUAAGACCAAAGAUUUAUCGCCCAAGGAUGAGCCCGCGUAAGAUUAGCUAGUUGGUGGGGUAAAAGCCUACCAAGGCGACGAUCUUUAACUGGUCUGAGAGGAUGAUCAGCCACACUGGGACUGAGACACGGCCCAGACUCCUACGGGAGGCAGCAGUGGGGAAUAUUGGACAAUGGGCGAAAGCCUGAUCCAGCAAUGCCGCGUGAGUGAUGAAGGCCCUAGGGUUGUAAAGCUCUUUUACCCGGGAUGAUAAUGACAGUACCGGGAGAAUAAGCUCCGGCUAACUCCGUGCCAGCCGCCGCAGUAAAAC
rnacentral:rRNA from 1 species